AAUCAACGCUGGCGGCGUGCCUCAGACAUGCAAGUCGAACGAUUAAACUUUCCUUCGGGGAAGAUAUAGAGUGGCGCACGGGUGAGUAACACGUAAGUAAUCUACCCUUGGGUGGGGAAUAACAUCGGGAAACCGAUGCUAAUACCGCAUAAUGCAGCGGCUUCUUAUGAAGACAGUUGUUAAAGCAUUUAUGUGCCUGAGGAGGAGCUUGCGGCAGAUUAGCUAGUUGGUAAGGUAAUGGCUUACCAAGGCGACGAUCUGUAGCCGACCUGAGAGGGUGGUCGGUCACACUGACACUGAAUAACGGGUCAGACUCCUACGGGAGGCAGCAGUCGGGAAUUUUGGGCAAUGGGCGCAAGCCUGACCCAGCAACGCCGCGUGAAGGAUGAAGUAUUUCGGUAUGUAAACUUACGU
rnacentral:rRNA from 1 species